rnacentral:tRNA from 1 species
CGAGGUGUCGCCCAGUUGGUAGGGCGCUAGUUUUGGGAACUAGAUGCCGCAGGUACGAGUCCUGUCACCUCGACCA